CGCUGGCGGCACGCCUAACACAUGCAAGUCGAACGAAGUAGCAAUACUUAGUGGCAGACGGGUGAGUAACAUGUAGGUAUCUGCCCUUUGGCCUGGAAUAACACGAGGAAACUUGUGCUAAUACCGGAUAAGUCUUUACGGAGAAAGCUUUAUGCACCAUUGGAUGAGCCUGCACUUGAUUAGUUUGUUGGUGGGGUAAUGGCCUACCAAGACUGUGAUCAAUAGCUGAUUUGAGAGGAUGAUCAGCCACAUUGGGACUGAGACACGGCCCAAACUCCUACGGGAGGCAGCAGUGGGGAAUCUUGCACAAUGGAGGAAACUCUGAUGCAGCGAUGCCGCGUGAGUGAAGAAGGCCCUUGGGUUGUAAAGCUCUUUCGUCGGGGAAGAAAAUGACUGUACCCGAAUAAGAAGGUCCGGCUAACUUCGUGCCAGCAGCCGCGGUAAUACGAAGGGACCUAGCGUAGUUCGGAAUUACUGGGCUUAAAGAGUUCGUAGGUUGUUGAAAUAGUUGGUGGUGAAAUCCCAGAGCUUAACUCUGGAACUGCCAUCAAAACUUUUCAGCUAGAGUAUGAUAGAGGAAAGCAGAAUUUCUAGUGUAGAGGUGAAAUUCGUAGAUAUUAGAAAGAAUACCAAAUGCGAAGGCAGCUUUCUGGAUCAUUACUGACACUGAGGAACGAAAGCAUGGGUAGCGAAGAGGAUUAGAUACCCUCGUAGUCCAUGCUGUAAACGAUGUGUGUUAGACGUUGGAAAUUUAUUUUCAGUGUCGCAGGGAAACCGAUAAACACACCGCCUGGGGAGUAC
rnacentral:rRNA from 1 species